rnacentral:rRNA from 1 species
CCUACGGGUGGCAGCAGUGGGGAAUAUUGGACAAUGGGGGAAACCCUGAUCCAGCCAUGCCGCGUGAGUGAUGAAGGCCUUAGGGUUGUAAAGCUCUUUCGCCAGGGAAGAUAAUGACGGUACCUGGAAAAGAAGCCUCGGCUAACUCCGUGCCAGCAGCCGCGGUAAGACGGAGGAGGCUAGCGUUGUUCGGAAUUACUGGGCGUAAAGCGUGCGCAGGUUGUGAGAUCAGUUGGAUGUGAAAGCCCGGGGCUUAACCUCGGAUGUGCAUCCAAUACUGUCUCGCUGGAGGUUGGAAGAGGAGAGUGGAAUUCCCAGUGUAGAGGUGAAAUUCGUAGAUAUUGGGAAGAACACCAGUGGCGAAGGCGGCUCUCUGGUCCAUACCUGACACUCAUGCACGAAAGCGUGGGGAGCAAACAGGAUUAGAUACCCGAGUAGUC